GUCUUUGUGGUGUUUCACGGAUUUCUCUCAGUUGUGCGUUCCUGAGGCGAAAUUUAAGAAGCCCUCUAAUAAACAGGGCUCAGAGAGUCUAGACUGUGACCAAAUGAAAAAGCCUGCUAGAGUAGCUUUGAUGGAGUGGACUGAAUUUCCCAAAGGAGAAGAUCCGGACUAUUAUAUUGUAACCUAUCAGCACACAGAUGCUUUCAAUCAAAAAGUAAAUGUCAUCAAUCUAAGCAAGAAGUAGUUACAAAUGUAUUUAAGCUGUACGUAUGUAAUUAAUAGCAUUUUUUAAGAUCAAUAUAAAAUGGCAAAUAAAGAGAAACUUUGGAGAAAUUAUACUGAAUUCAGUUAUUCAUGUAGUUUAUAUGAACUUUUACAGAAUCCUUUUGAAGCCAGUGGGACUUAAAAUACCCUUGUGUAUCCUGGUUGAAUAAGGAUAGAUAGACAUAUGUUUGAAGUUCAGAAUAUGUAAAUUCUUCGAAGUUCUCUGGUUUGAAGGAGGACUCCAGCUUCUUCAGGAGAAGCACAAACACUACCCCCAGAUCUUUGUGGCAGGGCAUUGUUCUCAUUUUGCGCACAAGAUGUCCUGGAACUUAAAGAAAAUAAGGAUUUUCAUGUGGAGGUGUUUCUUAAUAGCUUGAACAAUCUCUAAAAGGUUGUGUUAUAAAUGCAUUGGCUAUUUUGCAGUUUAAAUGUAGCCUUAAGUGUGAUGUGCUGCAAUAUCAGAUGUCCAUUUCAAAACCUUCAUAAUUUAUCGUCAUUUUAUCAUCAAACAUUUAGACCAUUUAUGAAUUGUAUUUUUAUUACUUUCACCUUAUCUAGAAAUUCUUUUAAAUUACAGAAUGUAAGAAACAUUUCUAAACUUGAACAAAAACCUGUCAGUACUACAAUUCUGCUGGAGGAAAAUAAGACAUAUGAUGUUACAAUAGAAUCUCUAAAAAAUGGACAUAUCCUAGGUGUAAAGUCAUUUAACACACGUGGAAUUUCAGAAAAUGAUAUCAAAACGUUUGUGACAGCUACUACUGUGUCUUUUAAUUGGAGUGCAAUGACCAAAGAUUUUUCAGUUUCAGUUUCACUGAAUGAUACUUCUCAGUUUAUACAAAAAAACAAUGGAUUCUUUGUGUGGAGUGAUUUGACACCUGCAACUUUAUAUACAUUUGAGUUUAUAUUUCACCAAUUACAUCUUGAAUUUAUAAAUGUGUCUCAAUCACUGGAUGUUCAAGCUGAAACAGGUACCUGUUCCCAGGGGUGGCUGGCAUUCCAAAGCAGCUGCUAUAGAAUGAGUAAGGAGAGUAAGCCAUGGAAGAUGGCACAACAAAUCUGUGAAAUGUCUUCGCAAGGGGCACAUCUUGUAGACAUAGGGAAUGAAGAAGAACGUGGUUUUAUUUUAUCUUAUCUCCAGACAAUUAGUCAAAUAGUCAUGUUAUGGACAGGUCUUAAUGACCUAAAGGACGAAGGUCAGCUGUUAUGGACAGAUGGAUCUCCUUAUCUUCUAAAGGCUGGUAUCUCAUCUUUGUCGAUGAUACCAGAAAAUGAAACAGACUGUUAUGCUCUUCAGAGAGAUCACAGUGGCCCAGACUAUUUCUUCACAGGAUUUUUCUGCUAUAUACAGCUACCAUAUAUUUGUGAAUAUGAAUUACCCCUCAUACCAGAAAACUUCACAUUUAGUGUGCAUGAUAUCAAGUCAACUGAAGCCGUGUUUAUAUGGAGUGAUACCGACAUCUGGCUUAAGUCAGGCUUUGCACUCAUAAUUAAGUACUAUUUUGAUCAUAUGAAACCAUACAUUCUGAGCUUGCCUGUGAAUACAACACAGACGAAAAUCGUGCAGUUGUCUCCUGGCCUUUGCUACAGGUUUUUACUAGCAGCAAGGAACCCAGAUGGGGCACAGACUGUCUUAAGUCCAAUUCUGAAGGUAGAAACAAGGCCAUUGCACUCCCAGAAGUUAGAGACUACAUACGUUUCAUCUGCAGAAAUACAUUUAAAGUGGAAGGCUCCACAGCAUUCAUCCAGUGCUUAUUUUCAUUAUUACCUUAUUAACAUUUUGGAUACUGAAACCAAUGUCUGGGAACAGUUACCAGUUGAAAAAAGAAAGACUUCAAUAGUUAUAGGAAAUGUAAAACCUUAUCAUCAGUAUCAGAUAUAUUUACUGAAUGUAGCAGAGAAGGGAACUCUAAGCUGCCAUGAAAAGCCUAUAUUAAUCACAACAGCUGUCAGUCCACCUAUAGCUGUUUUUAUUUACCCUGAGGAUGUACAAGAAGAGAGUGUAAUUCUUCACUGGAAGCUGUUGCAAGAGGAUCAGGGAUCCUACAUUCAGGUGAAACCUAGUGC
ensembl:lncRNA